rnacentral:rRNA from 1 species
GACGAACGCUGGCGGCGUGCUUAACGCAUGCAAGUUGAACGGAAAGGCCCUGCUUUUGUGGGGUGCUCGAGUGGCGAACGGGUGAGUAACACGUGAGUAACCUGCCCUUGACUUUGGGAUAACUUCAGGAAACUGGGGCUAAUACCGGAUAGGAGCUCCUGCUGCAUGGUGGGGGUUGGAAAGUUUCGGCGGUUGGGGAUGGACUCGCGGCUUAUCAGCUUGUUGGUGGGGUAGUGGCUUACCAAGGCUUUGACGGGUAGCCGGCCUGAGAGGGUGACCGGCCACAUUGGGACUGAGAUACGGCCCAGACUCCUACGGGAGGCAGCAGUGGGGAAUAUUGCACAAUGGGCGGUAGCCUGAUGCAGCAACGCCGCGUGCGGGAUGACGGCCUUCGGGUUGUAAACCGCUUUCGCCUGUGACGAAGCGUGAGUGACGGUAAUGGGUAAAGAAGCACCGGCUAACUACGUG